AAAUUGAAGAGUUUGAUCAUGGCUCAGAUUGAACGCUGGCGGCAGGCCUAACACAUGCAAGUCGAGCGGUAGCACAGAGAGCUUGCUCUCGGGUGACGAGCGGCGGACGGGUGAGUAAUGUCUGGGAAACUGCCUGAUGGAGGGGGAUAACUACUGGAAACGGUAGCUAAUACCGCAUAACGUCGCAAGACCAAAGUGGGGGACCUUCGGGCCUCAUGCCAUCAGAUGUGCCCAGAUGGGAUUAGCUAGUAGGUGGGGUAACGGCUCACCUAGGCGACGAUCCCUAGCUGGUCUGAGAGGAUGACCAGCCACACUGGAACUGAGACACGGUCCAGACUCCUACGGGAGGCAGCAGUGGGGAAUAUUGCACAAUGGGCGCAAGCCUGAUGCAGCCAUGCCGCGUGUGUGAAGAAGGCCUUCGGGUUGUAAAGCACUUUCAGCGGGGAGGAAGGCGAUAAGGUUAAUAACCUUGUUGAUUGACGUUACCCGCAGAAGAAGCACCGGCUAACUCCGUGCCAGCAGCCGCGGUAAUACGGAGGGUGCAAGCGUUAAUCGGAAUUACUGGGCGUAAAGCGCACGCAGGCGGUCUGUCAAGUCGGAUGUGAAAUCCCCGGGCUCAACCUGGGAACUGCAUUCGAAACUGGCAGGCUAGAGUCUUGUAGAGGGGGGUAGAAUUCCAGGUGUAGCGGUGAAAUGCGUAGAGAUCUGGAGGAAUACCGGUGGCGAAGGCGGCCCCCUGGACAAAGACUGACGCUCAGGUGCGAAAGCGUGGGGAGCAAACAGGAUUAGAUACCCUGGUAGUCCACGCCGUAAACGAUGUCGAUUUGGAGGUUGUGCCCUUGAGGCGUGGCUUCCGGAGCUAACGCGUUAAAUCGACCGCCUGGGGAGUACGGCCGCAAGGUUAAAACUCAAAUGAAUUGACGGGGGCCCGCACAAGCGGUGGAGCAUGUGGUUUAAUUCGAUGCAACGCGAAGAACCUUACCUGGUCUUGACAUCCACAGAACUUAGCAGAGAUGCUUUGGUGCCUUCGGGAACUGUGAGGCAGGUGCUGCAUGGCUGUCGUCAGCUCGUGUUGUGAAAUGUUGGGUUAAGUCCCGCAACGAGCGCAACCCUUAUCCUUUGUUGCCAGCGGUCCGGCCGGGAACUCAAAGGAGACUGCCAGUGAUAAACUGGAGGAAGGUGGGGAUGACGUCAAGUCAUCAUGGCCCUUACGACCAGGGCUACACACGUGCUACAAUGGCAUAUACAAAGAGAAGCGACCUCGCGAGAGCAAGCGGACCUCAUAAAGUAUGUCGUAGUCCGGAUUGGAGUCUGCAACUCGACUCCAUGAAGUCGGAAUCGCUAGUAAUCGUAGAUCAGAAUGCUACGGUGAAUACGUUCCCGGGCCUUGUACACACCGCCCGUCACACCAUGGGAGUGGGUUGCAAAAGAAGUAGGUAGCUUAACCUUCGGGAGGGCGCUUACCACUUUGUGAUUCAUGACUGGGGUGAAGUCGUAACAAGGUAACCGUAGGGGAACCUGCGGUUGGAUCACCUCCUUA
rnacentral:rRNA from 1 species